UAGGGAAUCUUCCACAAUGGACGCAAGUCUGAUGGAGCAACGCCGCGUGAGUGAAGAAGGUCUUCGGAUCGUAAACUCUGUUGUUAAAGAAGAACGUGGGUAAGAGUAACUGUUUACCCAGUGACGGUAUUUAACCAGAAAGCCACGGCUAACUACGCGCCAG
rnacentral:rRNA from 1 species